UGAGCAAGGACAAUAGAUAAAAGCUGGUGACCAUGGAACUGUUUAAAUCGCUCCACGGUCAUAUGGACUUAAGGCUCCCGUAAGAGCUGGGGAUAAGGUUGUAAUUAAGAUAACAGUAAAGACAAAAAGAAAGGUGCUUUCAUUACCCUUCACUUUCAAGUUGGUAUAAUGGCUGUUUGCUUGGCCUAGAGUAGGUCUCCCUCAUCGUU
rnacentral:lncRNA from 1 species